CAGCAGCCGCGGUAAUACGGAAGGUCCGGGCGUUAUCCGGAUUUAUUGGGUUUAAAGGGAGCGUAGGCCGGAGAUUAAGCGUGUUGUGAAAUGUAGACGCUCAACGUCUGCACUGCAGCGCGAACUGGUUUCCUUGAGUACGCACAAAGUGGGCGGAAUUCGUGGUGUAGCGGUGAAAUGCUUAGAUAUCACGAAGAACUCCGAUUGCGAAGGCAGCUCACUGGAGCGCAACUGACGCUGAAGCUCNAAAGUGCGGGUAUCGAACAGGAUUAGAUACCCUGGUAGUCCGCACGGUAAACGAUGGAUGCCCGCUGUUGGUCUGAAUAGGUCAGCGGCCAAGCGAAAGCAUUAAGCAUCCCACCUGGGGAGU
rnacentral:rRNA from 1 species